UCAAACUUGGUCAUUUAGAGGAAGUAAAAGUCGUAACAAGGUCUCCGUAGGUGAACCUGCGGAGGGAUCAUUAACGAGUUAGGGCCCACGGGCCCGACCUCCAACCCUCAUGUCUCCAACCUAGUUGCCUCGGGGGAGGCCCUGCCCCCGUGGCGGGUCCCCCGGAGGGCCAUUCCAACCCUGCAUCUGUAGUGUCUGAGUGGAUUUCAAAUGAAAAUCAAAACUUUCAACAACGGAUCUCUUGGUUCUGGCAUCGAUGAAGAACGCAGC
rnacentral:misc_RNA from 1 species